rnacentral:lncRNA from 1 species
UUAGUUAGCAAAAAUACUGAAUGCCAUUUAUGUUUAGUGUUUACCAUUGACAUACAGCCAAGUGCAAUUAAACACGAAGCUUCACCAUAUACAUAUUCAAGUACUUUCCUUCAAUUGAACAAAAACAAAAGAAAACUAAAACCUGGCAUCAGUUGCACCAUUAUAAUGUCUGACUCAUACAAUUCAGUUAAUUCAAGCAGAUAUGAGAACAAGAUUGAAGUCCAAAUUACACAAGGCAUGCAUUAUGGAGGAGGACACCUAACUCAAUUAGGUCAUAUUACACUAAAUCUAUCCUGCUUCAGAAUGUAAAAAAUCCAUAUUAAACUAAAUAGUAACUCUGGAUCAUACCACCUCAUGUUUGGCACACGACAACUAACUAAAAAUUAUUUACCAAAAAUUAUAUACUAGAGCUUAUACAUAUAAAUAUUUCAGCAACAGUAUGUUUUUACUAUUAUUUGCAACUUGCGUUGUUAAAAGAAUUGGUAUGGUGCAGUCUGUUAAAAAAAGGGAAAUGUUCAGGCAUACCAAAUUACCAACCCUCCACAUCCAAAUUCUCGUAAUUUCAGCUAUGGUUAUGUUCCCUUUUUUCUUACUUUCCAGCUGCACAUAAACCCGGAAUAAUCCUGAAAACCAAUAACAUAAAUAUAUUAAUAAUCAGAUAUCCUUGUCUAGAAAGUAAAUCAUGAGGGGACAAGAAAGAAUAAGCCGAGAAUUUUCAUGCCCUAGAGGUGCGCAUCUCACCAAAGGUUAUUUUCCAAGGAGAUUUUACUGAAAAGUUUAAACAUGUAAGCAAAUGAACAGAAACAUUCAACACACCUACAAAAAGUAUUCCGUCCUAAUAACAUAAACAUUUUUAAAUUUUUAAACCUUCAAUUAGGUGUUUUUUUUUCUUCCUAACAAGCGCUAAUUUUUCAUAAUUGAUCAAAAAGUCGAAAGUACAAUAUAGUAUAUCAAGUAUCGAACUUGCUUCAAUUCAUUUUACGUAUUUAAAGAUCAUACACACACAAAAAAUGCACAUUAGUUCUUGAAGCCAAUCCUAAGUAGUAGAGAAUUUAAGACUUUUGAGGUUAGCCGUGUAAAAUUUGUAAGUAAAUCAUCAAAACAUAGACACAACAAGUUAAAACUACAUAUUCAAAUCUAGUUCGAGUGAAGCUCAUUAGCACACAUAUCUUAGAUCAAAGUUUUACCAAUAUUUCGAGACAGAGAGAAUGCCCCUAAAUCUCUUCAGUUAUAUUACAUUAAAUUAUCCACGUUCCAAGUAACAUUGGCCAAACUUACCUAUCAGUAAAUAAUAUUUGUAAAUACAAUGAUGAAUUGUUGUUAGGGUCAUGAGCCUUUCAAACACCUGCAAAAGUCGAUACGACUUUAUUCAAGGAUCACGCAAAAUAUAUGAUACUAAGGGAACAAAAGUAAAAAGCAAGAAUAUAGAUGAAAAGAAGAUAAGAAACACAAAAAAUAACAUGGUCCGGUAAUUCUCAUGUCUACAUCCACAGUGAGAAUCAAUUUCAGUGAGAAACAUGAUCAAAAUCACCUCUUACAAAAGAGCAAUUUCUCUUUAUGUGAUCCCUUCGUUAUAUCUUAUCUAUUUACUUUUUUCACAGCAUUGUAUUUUUGUUGAAAAUAAAUCCAUGCUCCAAAAGCAAUGUUCUAAAAAUCGUACGAUUAAUCCCCGCCUAGGCACUAGACGGUCCUCUACCACCUAGAUUUGGCCGGGUGAUUCAAUAAUUACUUAAAAAGGGACACGUGGGGAUCAAGACAGCCACUCAACAAGCUGGACUUAUCCAUUACACCAACCUUACACUUGUAGUUUAAAAUUGGUAUAGAUUUUAGAUAUAACAUAAUUUUAAGACAUACUUAAAUCUACUAAUUAUCAAAUAUAUAAUACUAAAAUAUACUCCCUCUGUCUCAGGAUAAAAGUCCUGGUGGACUUUUCACGCAUAUUAAGAAGAAGAAUAAAAUGACAAAAUUGCCCAUAAUAAUGUCAUUAAAUAUGGAGAGAGAAUUAGAAUAAGAAAAAUAUGAGAUAUUUAAUGCUACGGGCAUAAUAGAAAAAAAUGUGUAAAAGUUUGGUUAUUAAAAGAAAGAGAACAUUUAACAUGGGACAACCCAAAAUAGUAAUAAGGACUUUUAUCCUGGGACGGAGGGAGUAGUAGAAAAGUUUCAUUUAACAUGUAACCCCAUCUCUACGUGGUGAUCCUGGGACGGAGGGAGUAGUAGAAAAGUUUCAUUUAACAUGUAACCCCAUCUCUACGUGGUGACUUAUAUACAGAGCAUUACCAAACAUAACCGAACUUUAUUUCCUGUGGAGAACUAGAAAGAAAUGAAAUGAAUAUAACCCCAAAAAGUCUAAAUAAAUAAAUUGAGUCAUAAAGAUAAUAAAGAUAUUGUUGGUUCUAGGCUACAUUAUACUCGGUCAUAAAUGAAGUAUUGAUUCUUACCAUCAAAGCAUUCAAAUGAUACAAUAUUAUUUGAAAAUCAGCCCAAUUUCUAAUUGAAGUGCUUAUAAAUAAAUAAUCAACAGAAUGCAACAAAUAUACUUGGAAUGUAUUUUUUAUGCCCAUCUUGCAUCAAGAAGUUCUAUAUUAGUAUUAAAUAAAUAAAUAAUAAAAAAAGAUGAAGUUUAAAGGAGAUAAAAUUUUCGAAGAUGAAGACAGACUUUGUAUGUUAAGAAUCUAAAAAAGGCACAGCGGAAAUUCAUCAAACAGCUUAUAUGCUGUAUCACCCAUAUGAAACCUACUAUUAUCUCAAUAAUUUGCCACUGGAAAAGCAAUAUACAGAACACAUGCAAUUACAGAAAGAGUCGAAGUAAUAAUAAUAAUAAUACCUGUUUGAUCAAAUGAUAAUUUACCCACGAACUCUCACUCUUUCUCUAUAACUUGGAGGUUG